rnacentral:rRNA from 1 species
UACAGAGGUCUCAAGCGUUGUUCGGAUUCAUUGGGCGUAAAGGGUGCGUAGGUGGCGCCAUAAGUCAGGUGUGAAAUCUCGGGGCUCAACCCCGAAACUGCACUUGAUACUGUGGUGCUCGAGUACUGGAGAGGAGAUUGGAAUUUACGGUGUAGCAGUGAAAUGCGUAGAUAUCGUAAGGAAGACCAGUGGCGAAAGCGGCGCACUGGACCACAACUGACGCUGAGGCGCGAAAGCUAGGGGAGCAAACAGG